rnacentral:tRNA from 1 species
GCCAGAGUGCUCAGUGGUUAGAGCGUUGGCCUGAGCACUGAAAGGUCUCAGGUUCAUUUCCUGGUUAAGGAGUGUACCUGGGUUGCAGGUUCGAUUCCUGGCUCUGGUA